rnacentral:rRNA from 1 species
UACAGAGGUCCCGAGCGUUGUUCGGAUUCAUUGGGCGUAAAGGGUGCGUAGGUGGCGCUGUAAGUGGGGUGUGAAAUCCCGGGGCUUAACCCCGGGACUGCAUUCCAUACUGCGGUGCUUGAGGACUGGAGAGGAGACUGGAAUUUACGGUGUAGCAGUGAAAUGCGUAGAGAUCGUAAGGAAGACCAGUGGCGAAGGCGGGUCUCUGGACAGUUCCUGACACUGAGGCACGAAGGCCAGGGGAGCGAACAGG